rnacentral:rRNA from 1 species
UACGGGGGGGGCAAGCGUUGUUCGGAAUUACUGGGCGUAAAGGGCUCGUAGGCGGCCAACUAAGUCAGACGUGAAAUCCCUCGGCUUAACCGGGGAACUGCGUCUGAUACUGGAUGGCUUGAGAUUGGGAGAGGGAUGCGGAAUUCCAGGUGUAGCGGUGAAAUGCGUAGAUAUCUGGAGGAACACCGGUGGCGAAGGCGGCAUUCUGGACCGACAUUGACGCUGAGGAGCGAAAGCGUGGGGAGCAAACAGG